UAGUACGGCGAGUGAAGAGGAAAGAGCUCAAAGUUGGAACCUGUUUGGCUUAGCUAAACCGGAUUGUAAACUGUAGAAGUGUUUUCCAGACACGCCUGGUAAAAAAGUCCUUUGGAACAGGGCAUCAUAGAGGGUGAGAAUCCCGUCAUUGGCCAGAGCUGUUGUCUUUUGUGAUACAUUUUCAAAGAGUCAGGUUGUUUGGGAAUGCAGCCUAAAUUGGGUGGUAAAUCUCACCUAAAGCUAAAUAUUUGCGAGAGACCGAUAGCGAACAAGUACCGUGAGGGAAAGAUGAAAAGAACUUUGAAAAGAGAGUUAAACAGUAUGUGAAAUUGUUAAAAGGGAACCGUUUGGAGCCAGACUGGCUUGAUCGUAAUCACUCUAGGCUUUGGCCUGGAUGCACUUGCGGUCUAUGCCGGCCAACGACAGUUUUGUUUGAGGGAAAAAAUUACAUUGAAUGUGGCCCUUCGGGGUGUUAUAGCUUUGUAAAAAAUACCUUGGACGGGACUGAGGAACGCAGCGAAUGCCUUUAGGCGAGAUUGCUGGGUGCUUGCGCUGAUACAUGCUAGAAUUUCUGCUUUGGGUGGUGCUAGUGUGUAAAGGAGUAACCCGCUUAGUAUAUUUUUUAUUCGCUUAGGUUGUUGGCUUAAUGACUCUAAAUGACCCGUCUUAAC
rnacentral:rRNA from 1 species